rnacentral:other from 1 species
GAUUCCCUGCCCGGCACGUGAUGUGUCGUACAAGUGAGCCAACACUUCCUAAGCGGGAUUCCGGAGUUUCCGACCGAGCCCCAUGCCCUUUCGGGGGACGGGUCGAGGGAGGAACAGGAAACCCACCUGGAGCAACUCGGUUCAGUUGCUCCGACUCACACGACCGGGCGGGGUCCUU